rnacentral:rRNA from 1 species
UACAGGGGGUGCACACGUUGCUCGGAAUUAUUGGGCGUAAAGCGCGCGUAGGCGGCUAUCUAAGUCGGAUGUGAAAGCCCCUGGCUUAACUGGGGAAGUGCACCCGAAACUGGGUAGCUAGAGUGCAAAAGAGGGUCGCGGAAUUCCCGGUGUAGAGGUGAAAUUCGUAGAUAUCGGGAGGAACACCGGUGGCGAAGGCGGCGACCUGGGUUGACACUGACGCUGAGGCGCGAAAGCGUGGGGAGCAAACAGG